UGAGUGCCCCUGAGUUCAAUCCCCAGUACCAAAAAAGAAAAGAAAAAAAAAAAAAUGGAUGAGGUGAAAUUACCAAAACUCAGAUUACACCACAGGCCCAACAGAUAGUGGGGUACUUGGAAUAAUAACAAAACACACACACACUUUCUGGUACCUUUGUUAUGGGCACUUGAAUGGUGCUGCUUCACAGAGGCUGCCCCUCCAGUCAUGAGGAUCUCAGACCAGAGCUCCAGGAAGUUCUGCUGUUGAUCUGAUACCAAGAGUACCUUGAGAUUCUGGAAAGGGUUUUCACGUGGUUGCCUAUGAAGGAUUCAGAGAGAGCAAGCCCUUUGGAAUUGGAAAGGAUCUUAGCAUGACAGAUAAUGACCAACAAACAGCCAUUCUGCAAAGAAACUCAGAUUCUUCCAAAAGCUUGCUGUCUUCCUAUCUCUUCAGCUCUGGAUGGGCUCUCAAAUACUCACCAAUCCAGAAUUUUUUGCUCCUCAAGGCUGUACCCAGCUGGCAGCAGAUAAUUACGGUAGUUCUGAAGCUGGUUGGCAUGGCAACUGUCAUGGACCCAGACAUGAGACACACAAGGAAUCCCACUGGCAAGGCACAGAAAGUACUUCCGGGUUCGACAAUGUUGAUCCGCAAUUAGGAGACACUGGUAGGCUGUGUUACACUGGAAGGAACAGAACAGAUGGAAAGAUCUUCACUCUAAUAAGCUAUGGAGAAGAGCUUGGAAGACUUUCAGAUUCUUCCAAAAUAUGAUUUAGUCUGUCCUUGUGACUGAGGCCACUUUUCUCAAAAACUCAAAAUGUUUCCCUAAACAUUCUCCCUGACUCUCAUCUGAGGACCUAAGUCCUUUUAGGAACAACCAAAACCCAUGUAUUUGAUAUAUCUAUUAAAUAUUUAUCUGUGUGUGUAACAUA